AUCGAUGAAGAACGCAGCGAAAUGCGAUAAGUAAUGUGAAUUGCAGAAUUCAGUGAAUCAUCGAAUCUUUGAACGCACAUUGCGCCCUUUGGUAUUCCGAAGGGCAUGCCUGUUCGAGCGUCAUUGCAACCCUCAAGCUAUGCUUGGUAUUGGGCUCCGUCUACUACUGACGGGCCUUAAAAUCAGUGGCGGUGCCAUUAGGCUCUAAGCGUAGUAAUUUUCUCGCUAUGGACGUCUGGUGGAUACUUGCCAGUAACCCCAAAUUUUUAAAGGUUGACCUCGGAUCAGGUAGGGAUACCCGCUGAACUUAAGCAUAUCAAUAAGCGGAGGAAAAGAAACCAACAGGGAUUACCUCAGUAACGGCGAGUGAAGCGGUAACAGCUCAAAUUUGAAAUCUGCCAACAGGCCGAGUUGUAAUUUGUAGAAGAUGCUUCGGGUGUGGCACCGGUCUAAGUUCAUUGGAACAUGACGUCAUAGAGGGUGAGAAUCCCGUAUGUGACUGGUUGCCUAUGCUCAUGUGAAGCUCUUUCAACGAGUCGAGUUGUUUGGGAAUGCAGCUCAAAAUGGGUGGUAUAUUUCAUCUAAAGCUAAAUAUUGGCCAGAGACCGAUAGCGCACAAGUAGAGUGAUCGAAAGAUGAAAAGCACUUUGGAAAGAGAGUUAAACAGUACGUGAAAUUGUUGAAAGGGAAGCGCUUGCAAUCAGACUUGCACGUUUUCGAUCAUCCGGUGUUCUCACCGGUGCACUCGAUUUCGUUCAGGCCAGCAUCGGUUUUGGUGGUUAGAUAAAGACCUUAGGAAUGUGGCUCUUUCGGGAGUGUUAUAGCCUGGGGUGUAAUGUAGCCUACCGGGACCGAGGACCGCGCUUCGGCUAGGAUGCUGGCGUAAUGGUUGUAAGCGACCCGUCUUGAAACACGG
rnacentral:rRNA from 1 species